UAGGGAAUCUUCGGCAAUGGGGGGAACCCUGACCGAGCAACGCCGUGUGAGUGAAGAAGGUUUUCGGAUCGUAAAGCUCUGUUGUUAAGGAAGAACGUGUGUGAGAGGGGAAAGUUCACACAGUGACGGUACUUAACCAGAAAGGGACGGCUAACUACGUGCCAGCAGCCGCGGUAAUACGUAGGUCCCGAGCGUUGUCCGGAUUUAUUGGGCGUAAAGCGAGCGCAGGCGGUUAGAUAAGUCUGAAGUGAAAGGCAGUGGCUCAACCAUUGUAGGCUUUGGAAACUGUUUAACUUGAGUGCAGAAGGGGAGAGUGGAAUUCCAUGUGUAGCGGUGAAAUGCGUAGAUAUAUGGAGGAACACCGGUGGCGAAAGCGGCUCUCUGGUCUGUAACUGACGCUGAGGCUCGAAAGCGUGGGGAGCGAACAGGAUUAGAUACCCUGGUAGUCCACGCCGUAAACGAUGAGUGCUAGGUGUUAGGUCCUUUCCGGGACUUAGUGCCGCAGCUAACGCAUUAAGCACUCCGCCUGGGGAGUACGACCGCAAGGUUG
rnacentral:rRNA from 1 species